rnacentral:lncRNA from 1 species
GGGAUUGAGUCCAGAGCAGGGCAAACAGGUCCCUGCUCUUGGGUGUCUGUGGACACAGACUUUAAAGGUAAGUCUGGGUUAUACCUCUUGACCAGGGCUGUCACCAGAAGCAGCAGCCUUGAAGAUGAGGAGUGUGAUCUUGUCUUGUUGGUCACAGAGCCCGUCAACAAGAGGACAGACUCUGCAGGGUCAAACGGGUGCAUACAGCUUUCACAUAUAUUACCAUGAUGCCGGGGUUCCAUUGGGUCCCUGCCCAGGGCUGUCAGCCACCUCAGCAGCUACUGUAGCAGGAUGAAUGACCCCACAUGCAGGCAGAGCACUGACCCCACAUUCUACACCUGGUUCAGUAUGUGGCAUAGAACUGAGGGUCUCUUACACACAAGACAAGCACCAAUUCCCAGCACCUACACGGUGGCUCACCACCACUUGUAACUCCAGUCACAGGGAUCUGACAGCCUCUUUAGGCCUCUACAGGAACCAGACAUAGAGAUAGCCAUGGUGGUUCACAGACAUACAUACAGGCAAAACACAUGAAAAUUAUCUUUUUUUAAAACAGUGAGAUAGUUUCUCACUAAGUGACUCAGCUUGGCCUUGAACUUGUAAUCCUCCUUCCUCAACCUUCCAAGUAGCUUGCACCACCAUAAUAUAGUUUUGUUGUUGUUGUUGUUGUUGUUAUUGUUGUUGUUGUUUUGUUUUGUUUAAUGGAAACUUGUCCACAAUGGUUCAUUAGCAAAAUACUUCUGAAGAGAGGAGCGGACACCAAGCAGACUUUCUACUGUUGAUCCCAGAGAGAAGCCAGAGAAGCCACAGGGGACAGACUCCUAAGUCUUCCACAGCCUGCAGACUAGUGUGUGAUGGGUGUGGGAUGCUGUGGUACAUGCACAAUGAUUCUGGCAUGCCUGAGCAAGUCUGAGUCUCGUAUAACUUUCUAGAAGGUUCUGAUGAUGGCAUACGUUCUUGGAGGACACACAGAGUGGAAAAUUAUAGAAGAUCAUGAAGGAGAAUUAGAGCACUGAGCAACAGC